rnacentral:rRNA from 1 species
CUACAGGCUUAACACAUGCAAGUCGAGGGGCAUCAGGAAGAAAGCUUGCUUUCUUUGCUGGCGACCGGCGCACGGGUGAGUAACACGUAUCCAACCUGCCCUUUACUCGGGGAUAGCCUUUCGAAAGAAAGAUUAAUACCCGAUGGCAUAAUGAUUCCGCAUGGUUUCAUUAUUAAAGGAUUCCGGUAAAGGAUGGGGAUGCGUUCCAUUAGGUUGUUGGUGAGGUAACGGCUCACCAAGCCUUCGAUGGAUAGGGGUUCUGAGAGGAAGGUCCCCCACAUUGGAACUGAGACGCGGUCCAAACUCCUACGGGAGGCAGCAGUGAGGAAUAUUGGUCAAUGGGCGCUAGCCUGAACCAGCCAAGUAGCGUGAAGGAUGAAGGCUCUAUGGGUCGUAAACUUCUUUUAUAUAAGAAUAAAGUGCAGUAUGUAUACUGUUUUGUAUGUAUUAUAUGAAUAAGGAUCGGCUAACUCCGUGCCAGCAGCCGCGGUAAUACGGAGGAUCCGAGCGUUAUCCGGAUUUAUUGGGUUUAAAGGGAGCGUAGGUGGACUGGUAAGUCAGUUGUGAAAGUUUGCGGCUCAACCGUAAAAUUGCAGUUGAUACUGUCAGUCUUGAGUACAGUAGAGGUGGGCGGAAUUCGUGGUGUAGCGGUGAAAUGCUUAGAUAUCACGAAGAACUCCGAUUGCGAAGGCAGCUCACUGGACUGCAACUGACACUGAUGCUCGAAAGUGUGGGUAUCAAACAGGAUUGGAUACCCUGGUAGUCCACACAGUAAACGAUGAAUACUCGCUGUUUGCGAUAUACAGUAAGCGGCCAAGCGAAAGCAUUAAGUAUUCCACCUGGGGAGUACGCCGGCAACGGUGAAACUCAAAGGAAUUGACGGGGGCCCGCACAAGCGGAGGAACAUGUGGUUUAAUUCGAUGAUACGCGAGGAACCUUACCCGGGCUUAAAUUGCAGUGGAAUGAUGUGGAAACAUGUCAGUGAGCAAUCACCGCUGUGAAGGUGCUGCAUGGUUGUCGUCAGCUCGUGCCGUGAGGUGUCGGCUUAAGUGCCAUAACGAGCGCAACCCUUAUCUUUAGUUACUAACAGGUUAUGCUGAGGACUCUAGAGAGACUGCCGUCGUAAGAUGUGAGGAAGGUGGGGAUGACGUCAAAUCAGCACGGCCCUUACGUCCGGGGCUACACACGUGUUACAAUGGGGGGUACAGAAGGCAGCUAGCGGGUGACCGUAUGCUAAUCCCAAAAGCCUCUCUCAGUUCGGAUCGAAGUCUGCAACCCGACUUCGUGAAGCUGGAUUCGCUAGUAAUCGCGCAUCAGCCACGGCGCGGUGAAUACGUUCCCGGGCCUUGUACACACCGCCCGUCAAGCCAUGGGAGCCGGGGGUACCUGAAGUACGUAACCGCAAGGAUCGUCCUAGGGUAAAACUGGUGACUGGGGC